rnacentral:misc_RNA from 1 species
GCGGAGGGAUCAUUACCGAGUUAUACAACUCAUCAACCCUGUGAACAUACCUAAAACGUUGCUUCGGCGGGAACAGACGGCCCCGUAACACGGGCCGCCCCCGCCAGAGGACCCCCUAACUCUGUUUCUAUUAUGUUUCUUCUGAGUAAAACAAGCAAAUAAAUUAAAACUUUCAACAACGGAUCUCUUGGCUCUGGCAUCGAUGAAGAACGCAGCGAAAUGCGAUAAGUAAUGUGAAUUGCAGAAUUCAGUGAAUCAUCGAAUCUUUGAACGCACAUUGCGCCCGCCAGUAUUCUGGCGGGCAUGCCUGUUCGAGCGUCAUUACAACCCUCAGGCCCCCGGGCCUGGCGUUGGGGAUCGGCGAGGCGCCCCCUGCGGGCACACGCCGUCCCCCAAAUACAGUGGCGGUCCCGCCGCAGCUUCCAUUGCGUAGUAGCUAACACCUCGCAACUGGAGAGCGGCGCGGCCACGCCGUAAAACCCCCAACUUCUGAAUGUUGACCUCGAAUCAGGUAGGAAUACCCGCUGAACUUAAGCAUAUCA